rnacentral:misc_RNA from 1 species
GAUGAAGAACGUAGCGAAAUGCGAUAAGUAGUGUGAAUUGCAGAAUUCAGUGAAUCAUCGAAUCUUUGAACGCACAUUGCGCCCUUUGGUAUUCCUUAGGUCAUGCCUGUUCGAGCGUCAUCUAAACCUUCAAGCCCUGCUUGGUGUUGGGUGCCUGUCCCGCCUCCGCGCGUGGACUCACCUCAAAUCCAUUGGCGGCCCCCGCGUCGGCCACGAGCGCAGCAGAAACGCGAACUCGUGAGCCCGUCCGGGCGGCUCCCAGAAGCUAACCCCCAAUUUUUGACCUCGGAUCAGGUAGGGAUACCCGCUGAACUUAAGCAUAUCAAUAAGCGGAGGA